rnacentral:rRNA from 1 species
UUGGUCGUAGACCCGAAACCAGGUGAUCUACCCUUGGUCAGGUUGAAGUUCAGGUAACACUGAAUGGAGGACCGAACCGACUUACGUUGAAAAGUGAGCGGAUGAACUGAGGGUAGCGGAGAAAUUCCAAUCGAACCUGGAGAUAGCUGGUUCUCUCCGAAAUAGCUUUAGGGCUAGCCUCAAGUGAUGAUUAUUGGAGGUAGAGCACUGUUUGGACGAGGGGCCCCUCUCGGGUUACCGAAUUCAGACAAACUCCGAAUGCCAAUUAAUUUAACUUGGGAGUCAGAACAUGGGUGAUAAGGUCCGUGUUCGAAAGGGAAACAGCCCAGACCACCAGCUAAGGUCCCAAAAUAUAUGUUAAGUGGAAAAGGAUGUGGCGUUGCCCAGACAACUAGGAUGUUGGCUUAGAAGCAGCCAUCAUUUAAAGAGUGCGUAAUAGCUCACUAGUCGAGUGACACUGCGCCGAAAAUGUACCGGGGCUAAACAUAUUACCGAAGCUGUGGAUUGUCCUUUGGACAAUGGUAGGAGAGCGUUCUAAGGGCGUUGAAGCAUGAUCGUAAGGACAUGUGGAGCGCUUAGAAGUGAGAAUGCCGGUGUGAGUAGCGAAAGACGGGUGAGAAUCCCGUCCACCGAUUGACUAAGGUUUCCAGAGGAAGGCUCGUCCGCUCUGGGUUAGUCGGGUCCUAAGCUGAGGCCGACAGGCGUAGGCGAUGGAUAACAGGUUGAUAUUCCUGUACCACCUAUAAUCGUUUUAAUCGAUGGGGGGACGCAGUAGGAUAGGCGAAGCGUGCGAUUGGAUUGCACGUCUAAGCAGUAAGGCUGAGUAUUAGGCAAAUCCGGUACUCGUUAAGGCUGAGC